GGCUCCGUAGUUCAAUGGAUAGAAUGGAGGUUUCCGGAACCUCAGAUACAGGUUCGAUCCCUGUCGGGGCUA
rnacentral:tRNA from 1 species